rnacentral:misc_RNA from 1 species
CCUGAAGAUACCUUCCGGCGCAGUGUCCACACAGAUUGUCUGAUAGAAGUAAUGAGCAAGGCGCCUGCGAAGUCGCGACACACCGUGUCCCCUUCGUCUAGCGGUUAGGACUCCGCCCUUUCACGGCGGCAACAGGGGUUCGAAUCCCCUAGGGGACGCCACUUGCUUGGUGACAGGUGAAAGGUGUCGCUAAAAAUAUCUUAAAGCUGACUGCAAAGUCAGGUUUAAGAUAUUGCUCUUUAACAAUCCGGAACAAGCUGAAAAUUGAAACGACGUGUCGUGUUCAUUCUCCGUAAUCAGAAUGAAAUCACGAUAUGUUCGAGUCUCUCAAAUACUUGCACCCGAAAGGGUCUCUUACUCAGGUUGAGUAAUGAGCGAGCUAAGUGAAGGCAAGGCGUCAGCGCGCAGCAACGCGGAGUGGACUUGAGUCCAUGAGCAUUGCGAGCACUGCAUAACGCCGCCGUCACGACGCGCAGCCAUUACGUGAACCGGAGAGGGACGCUUGUGGGUUGUGA